rnacentral:rRNA from 1 species
UACGUAGGGUGCGAGCGUUUAAUCGGAAUUACUGGGCGUAAAGUGUGCGCAGGCGGCCGCGCAAGUCGAGUGUGAAAGCCCCGAGCUUAACUUGGGAAUUGCGCUCGAAACUACGUGGCUGGAGUGUGCAGAGGAAGGUGGAAUUCCACGUGUAGCGGUGAAAUGCGUAGAGAUGUGGAGGAACACCAAUGGCGAAGGCAGCCUUCUGGGCCAACACUGACGCUCAUGCACGAAAGCGUGGGGAGCAAACAGG